CCUUAGAGUUUGAUCCUCGCUCAGUANGCNGCUGNAUCACCUCCUNNGAGUUUGAUCCUGGCUCAGGACGAACGCUGGCGGCGUGCUUAACACAUGCAAGUCGAACGAUGAAGCCUUUCGGGGUGGAUUAGUGGCGAACGGGUGAGUAACACGUGGGCAAUCUGCCCUUCACUCUGGGACAAGCCCUGGAAACGGGGUCUAAUACCGGAUAACACUCUGUCCCGCAUGGGACGGGGUUAAAAGCUCCGGCGGUGAAGGAUGAGCCCGCGGCCUAUCAGCUUGUUGGUGGGGUAAUGGCCUACCAAGGCGACGACGGGUAGCCGGCCUGAGAGGGCGACCGGCCACACUGGGACUGAGACACGGCCCAGACUCCUACGGGAGGCAGCAGUGGGGAAUAUUGCACAAUGGGCGAAAGCCUGAUGCAGCGACGCCGCGUGAGGGAUGACGGCCUUCGGGUUGUAAACCUCUUCAGCAGGGAAGAAGCGAAAGU
rnacentral:rRNA from 1 species